rnacentral:rRNA from 1 species
AGAGUUUGAUCCUGGCUCAGACGAACGCUGGCGGCGUGCCUAAUACAUGCAAGUCGAGCGAAGUUUUUCUGGUGCUUGCACUAGAAAAACUUACCGGCGAACGGGUGAGUAACACGUAAAGAACCUGCCUCAUAGACGGGGACAACUAUUGGAAACGAUAGCUAAUACCGGAUAACAGCAUAAAUCGCAUGAUAUAUGUUUAAAAGUUGGUUUCGGCUAACACUAUGAGAUGGCUUUGCGGCGCAUUAGCUAGUUGGUGGGGUAAAGGCCUACCAAGGCGACGAUGCAUAGCCGACCUGAGAGGGUGAUCGGCCACACUGGGACUGAGACACGGCCCAGACUCCUACGGGAGGCAGCAGUAGGGAAUCUUCCGCAAUGGGCGAAAGCCUGACGGAGCAACGCCGCGUGAGUGAAGAAGGAUUUCGGUUCGUAAAGCUCUGUUGUUAGGGAAGAAUGAUUGUAUAGUAACUAUAUACAGUAGAGACGGUACCUAACCAGAAAGCCACGGCUAACUACGUGCCAGCAGCCGCGGUAAUACGUACGUGGCAAGCGUUGUCCGGAAUUAUUGGGCGUAAAGCGCGCGCAGGUGGUUUAAUAAGUCUGAUGUGAAAGCCCACGGCUCAACCGUGCAGGGUCAUUGGAAACUGUUAAACUUGAGUGCAGGAGAGGAAAAGUGCAAUGUCCUAGUGUAGCGUUGAAAUGCGUAUAGAUUAGCAGCACACCAGUGGCGACGCUGCUUUUUGGACUGUACUGACGCUGAGACGCGAAGCGUGCAGAGCAACAGAUUAGAUGCCCUGCUAGUCACGACGUAAACGAUGAUGCCUGCUGUCGUACUGUAUCAGCGCUAAGCGAAGGCAUAGCAUCAACUGGGAGUACGACGCACGGUGAACUCAAGGAAUGACCGGGGACCGCACCAG